rnacentral:rRNA from 1 species
AUGGACAGGAUCACUAAGAAUGUGGUCGCAAACAUCAAGAGUGUUGCAAUGAGGGAGCCACUUUUUAAGCACAAUCUCGAGUCUUACUCGCUAUUCACCCCACUUGAUUACCCUCAACAAAAAACUUACUAUAACUGUGGCUACUAUAGUAUUUUAUACGUGGAGAAUUGGGAUGGCCUUGUUAUGCUGUCAUUUGGCGAGGAUUACAUCCCAAACCUUCGGAAACGCAUUGGAGCAGAUCUGUUGAGACACCCAAGCAACAAGUUGGACCCCGCGCAUCAGCUGAAGCUGCUUCUUCAGCGUUAG